UUUUUUUUUUCUUUUUACACCUUCACUGCUGGAAAAACUUGGUUUUUUAAAGAUAAUAAAAUGACUGCCAGAGGCAAAUACUGCAUUAUUUUUGUUUCUGAAUUGUCUCCCCAAAAUAUUAAGAAACUCAAAUGUUUCUCUUUUGUUAAAUUUUUUCCUUUGCUAGUCUAGAUUUUAAAAUAUAAACAGCUGAAAUGUUAAUAUUAGGUUUUGCUUUAAUAUAGCAGGAAACUAGAUUACUGCUAGAUAAAUAAUUUCAACCUAAAUGUAGGUAGCUUUUUAAGCCAGGUUAUUAUUUUCCCAAUACCCAAAAGUCAAUGAGGAGACUGAUGUUUUGAUUUAAAGGAUAUACUCUCAUAAUUCAAAAAAUAACUCCUCUAGAAAUCUGAAUAUUUGGCAAAUGCAUUUAAACAUAAUUCUCUUUCCAUAAUGACGUUGCACUUUAUAAAGCUGAGGAGGAAGCUAUGAAUGUAUUGUAGGCAGAAUACACACAAACUAGAAACAAGUACCUGCCUGAUCUGCUUGGCAAGUGACUAAUCCCUCAACACGUGACAAUCCACGCAUUCUAUGUGAAUAAAAUAUUAGCUAAAAGAGCCCAUACAGGCUGGGUGUGCUGGCUCACCCCUACAAUCCCAGUAUUUUGAGAGGACAAGGCGGGAGGAUUGCUUGAGGCCAGAGUUUGAGAUAAGCCUAGGCAACACAGUGAGACUCCAAUUUCUUAAAAUAAAUAAAUAAUUUUUAAAUGUAAAAAGAGUCCAUAUGGUCAUGAAGAGUUUAUUUCAGACACAAAGUUUUUUGUUUUUUUUUAAUCCCUCAUCAAAAGAAUCAAAGGGAUUAUUUAUCAAAGUUGUACUUACAAAUUCAUCUGAACUUGAACUCUGUCUGGGUUCAAAGCCCAGCUCCAUUGCUUACCAGCUAUCAACGUGGGCAAGCAAAUUAUUUGUGCCUUAGUUAUAUCAUCUGUCACACAGAAAUAAUAAUAGUAUCCACUUCAAAUAGUAUUAUCAAAUAGUCAAAAUGAAACUCACAGAAGCAGAGAGUACAAUGAUGGUUACCAUGGGCUGUAGGAAGAAGGUAUUGAAGAGAUAUUGGUCAAAAAAUACAAAAUUUCUGUUAAGAGGAGUAAGUUCAAGAGAUCUAUAAUCAACAUGGUGACCAUAGCUAAUAACAAUGUAUUGCAUACUUGUAAGUGUUCUUACCACAAAAAAAAGAGUAUGUGAGGUAAUGUAUAUAUGUUAAUUAGCUUGAUUAACCCAUG
rnacentral:lncRNA from 1 species